ensembl:ncRNA F14F3.11 ncRNA
GGGCGGGUCACUGUCCUAUGUGGAUGGUUUGGAAAGUUGUCGUCAAAGAAUCACGCAACACCGUAGGAACACGAGACGCAGAUCAGAUGUGUCAGAAGGGAUUGAGUUGA